UGAUGAUGGUGAUGGUGAGGUGAGGUUACUGUGUGAUGGUGGUGUGGUGAUGAGGUGAUGGUGUGAUGAUGGUGUGGUGAUGGUGUGAUGAUGGUGUGGUGAUGAUGAGGUGAUGGUGUGAUGAUGGUGUGGUGAUGGUGAGGUGAUGGUGUGGUGUUGGUGUGGUGAUGGUGAGGUUACUGUGUGGUAAUGGUGUGAUGAUAGUGAUGGUGAUGGUGUGGUGAUGGUGAGGUUACUGUGUGGUGAUGGUGUGAUGAUGGUGGUGUGGUGUGGUGAUGGUGAGGUUUCUGUGUGGUGAUGGUGUGGUGAUGGUGUGGUGAUGGUGUGGUGAUGGUGUGGUG